AGGGCUAUUAUGUGGGCUCAGAAAUAGAUAUUAGAGCAAUUAUAAAAAAAGUGCAUGUUCCCCAAACAUUUAUUUAUGGAACAUACAAAGUUGACUUCUAUUAUACACGUGCAAAAGAAAUACUCGGUUGUAACAAAGCCAUUUAUGAAUUAUUAAAAGCUUGAAAUUAUUUUUUUUCCAUAUUAAUUAAUUCAGAUAUUUAUUUUUACUUCUUAUAAUAUAAGUUGGAAUAUUAAUAUUAUAUGUAUUAUUAUUAACAC